AAUUGCAUCAAUAGUCUGCAAAUUAUCACUGCUGUUAUUGAUCUUCAGAUCCAUAGUUUGGCAAAGCCGAAGAAGAAGCCAGACUAUGAACGCUCGUGGUGGGAGGAUCAGCUUGCGUGGGUUUUGUCAUUCGAGCAAUCGCUUUGUGGUGCAGACGAUGAUUGGAUUCGUUAGGUCUUCUAGCAGCCUGUUAGUUUUCCCUUUCUUUCUCCUCUCCCUCAACUGGGUUCUUGGGAUUCUUUCAACGGUCAAACCGUCAACGUUGGUAUGAACCCUUCAAAGGUCUUCAUCACUAAGCUCCGCCAAGGGGCGUGAUGUUGUCGACAAGGACAAGGAUACCAAUUAGUAUGUUAAAUUCGAACACAAUUUCUGAGGGGAAAAAAACAUCACUAUGUCAUGGUUCUUUUUUGUAUGCUUCAUUAUGCAUCAUUUUUAUUAUUAGUAUGUGGUUGUGAAUUUGAUACUGCAAUUUCAUCUUUCGAUUUCUCCUAUUGUUUUGGUUUUUUCUUUUCUGAUUAAACCAGAACCUAAGAUUGCAAGGAUGGGAAGCGGCCGCUACGGGUUAUUGGUGUUCUUCCUCUGCAGUUCAAGGAGGAGGUGAGUAGGAAUUCCCAACAUCCAAACAUACGUUGAAUUCGCAUUUAAAGAGGAAAGCCAUCUUGCUUGGGAACUCCGAGUGGUUGGUUGAGAUGUGACAUACGAAACUGAAUUUGUGCCAAUUGCAGAUGAUGGCUACACAGUAAUUGUAUUAAAGACUAGCAACAAAAAAUUUCUUAAUACUCUGUUAGCAACAAAAAAUCGAGUAUAUACUCUGUUAGUUGCUUUUGUUUCUCCCCUAAUGGUGAUUGUUUUAACGAUUUCUUUUGGUGUUUGGAUAAGGUGAUGGAGUCAAAUGAACAAUCAUACAUGUC